rnacentral:rRNA from 1 species
ACUAGUGAUUUCCGUAGGUGAACCUGCGGAAGGAUCAUUCGCACGUAUCCAAUCAAACAACUGUGAACUACUCUGCGUGAGCUUUUGCAUGGGGAUGGCGAGUAACACUCCUGCUCCCGUGUGAAAGCUCAAGGGUAGGCGACGUAAGGAUCGGACCGUCUUCCCUUCUUGUUCCGCCUACCAGGUUGUCUUGAUCUACAGUCAAGAAAUGUUAUUUCAUGCGUGGCUUCGCCCAUGCACGUGCUUUUUACAACUUUCAGCGACGGAUGUCUCGGCUCGAACAACGAUGAAGGGCGCAGCGAAGUGUGAUAAACAUUGUGAAUUGCAGAAUUCCGUGAACCAAUAGGUACUUGAACGUAUACUGCGCUUUCGGGAUAUCCCUGAAAGCAUGCCUGCUUCAGUGACUACUCCUUUUCAUUCCAGCAUUUGCUGCGAGUUUUUGCGCGUUAAGGAGCCUCUUGGCCCGUGACGUGUUCAGUGCAUCCAGCCCCUGCGCGAUGACGAUUGAUUGAGCUUCUCUUCUUUUUGUCUGACCGCUGGGAGCUACUUCUCAAGCCGCGUAGGCGUUCCACCAAAGUCAUGAAGUUAGGUCAGAGAACCCGCUGAAUUUAAGCAUAUCAAUAAGCGGAGCAAA